rnacentral:rRNA from 1 species
UACGGAGGGUGCGAGCGUUGUCCGGAAUCACUGGGCGUAAAGGGCGCGUAGGCGGCCACCGCAAGUCGACUGUGAAAUCUCCGGGCUUAACCCGGAAAGGUCAGCCGAUACUGCGGGGCUAGAGUGCAGAAGGGGCAACUGGAAUUCUCGGUGUAGCGGUGAAAUGCGUAGAUAUCGAGAGGAACACCUGCGGCGAAGGCGGGUUGCUGGGCUGACACUGACGCUGAUGCGCGAAAGCUAGGGGAGCGAACGGG